UACGGGGGGGGUAAGCGUUGUUCGGAAUUACUGGGCGUAAAGGGCUCGUAGGCGGCCAACUAAGUCAGACGUGAAAUCCCUCAGCUUAACUGGGGAACUGCGUCUGAUACUGGAUGGCUUGGAUUCGGGAGAGGAAUGCGGAAUUCCAGGUGUAGCGGUGAAAUGCGUAAAUAUCUGGAGGAACACCGGUGGCGAAGGCGGCAUUCUGGACCGAUAUUGACGCUGAGAAGCGAAAGCCAGGGGAGCAAACGGG
rnacentral:rRNA from 1 species